UACACAUUGGCACACACACAGAUACUGACACAUACACAAACAGAUAUACUGACACACACUGUGACAGACAUGGAUACUGACACACACACAGGCAUACAUACUGACACACACACAGGCAUACUGACACACACAGACAUACUGACACACACAGACAGACAUACUGACACACACAUACAUACUGACACACACAGACAGACAUACUGACACACACAGACAUACUGACACACACAGACAGACAUACUGACACACACAGACAUACUGACACACACAGA